GGGCACCCUCGUUUUAUUAACAGUAUUUUCCCAGCUGGAGGUGUUGAAAAGAAAGCUUUGGACUCGUAAAGAAGCAUCUUGACGUAUUCUCCUCGUGUGCACUAUUGAUAUUCUGAGGAAGGGAAGAUAAUCAAUGCUCGCUGACUACGGUGAAAAGCUGGAUGUCUCAGGUGCAGGACACCACUGAUACUGUGACUAUAUCAUGUAUGGAAAACCUGGAAUGACCUACUAGUGCAGUAUGACCUGAGGAUUUAUUCCCUGAGUGCUCCAUGCAAGCUCAACUCAAUUAAUGUGCCAGCGGUUCUGGCUGUGGGCCUGUUUCAUCUUAAAGAUGGAUCGCUGGGAAAACGCUGUGCGCAGGGCUUCUAAAUUCACCAAGGGAAUCCAGGUACAAAAGUGAUCAUUACCCUACAAACCAGUUUCCAAUGAACAAGGGCUUUUUAGAUGCAUGCGGCUGCAUGCCAUUUGAAUGCACAAAUACAAUCCAGAUCCAGUAA
rnacentral:lncRNA from 1 species